CGGGAUAAUGAGUAAAAUGCAAGCGAAGACGGAGAUGCAACAGAGGAUAAACAGACUGUCGUUAACGUGAGAUGAGAAAAAAUAAACAAAGCCCAACAGGAUUUAAGUUUAACGGCUCUGGAGAGCAGCUGGAGUUGGUGGCGUGUGCAGUUGACGGUUCCUCGGGGUGCGAGGGCUCGGCAGCGGCGGCUCCAGCUAACAUCUCGCCUGACGCUCCGAGCCUGGAAGCGCCGUUUCGCUUCAUCUCCGUCCAAGGACAAUAAACAGAAAGUGGAAGCGCAGGCGGGCAGCAGCGAGCACACGAGGCCCGAGUGCAGAGUGACCUAACGUGAGUCAGGAUGACCUUUGAAGAGCUGCACAGACGGAGCCUUCUGCCGUCUGAUGAGAGCAGAAAAGCAGAGAGGCAGGGAUCUCUCUGCUGAACUCGCUUUCAUUUCACUACAAACUGGAUUAAAACCAGCGAGAUAUGAAAUGAAAAUGUGGUAUGACCUUAGGGACAUGUGCGACUGGAGUGGAGGUGACGGGUGUCUGAAGGUCAGAUGGAGGCAGAGGUGUUGGAGGUGAGUGGAGGAGGAGCAGGAGGAGGACGGGAUUCUGUGGCGGUGGCAGCUCUGUGGUUAUCAGCCGCUCUUCCUUUCUUUCACAUCAGCACUUUCCAUUUAUGUGGCUCCGUGCUGAUCGUCAUAAAUCAGACCUCUGAGCGAUUCUAGUCCAAUGCUAAAAAUACGACGCCGUCCCAAAUGCAUCGAUUAGGUUGCUUUUAUUCCAAAAACCCUUCAAAACAAAACAGAGCUACGAAAAUGAAUUCAACGGCAUUAUUAAUGUUGUCAUUAUUUUUGUAUUUCUGUCAAUUUUUUAUUUGAAUUUUUCCUCGGUCGACUGCAAGACAAGUCGUCACGUUGACAUGAUAAAGUUUGUCUUGAUCUUAAUGUUUUUCUUGUCCCAGUUGUUGGGCAAACAACUGGGAUCUAUGAACACAAAGCACUUUUUAAAAUUUUGUUUAUUUAUCGCAAGCCAUAUCAUUACUGCAACAUUCAUCAAUAUUAUAGCACACCUGGGCCUGUUGCAUUAAAUCAAUUAAUCGAAUAAUAAAAUAAAACAAGCUCAAUAA